rnacentral:SRP_RNA from 1 species
CAGAGCAGGAAGGGCAGCAGCAGUAGGAAGUUGUGUCUGGUUCGGGAG